rnacentral:rRNA from 1 species
AUUGAACGCUGGCGGCAGGCCUAACACAUGCAAGUCGACCGAGCGGCGGACGGGUGAGUAAUGUAUGGGGAUCUGCCUGAUGGAGGGGGAUAACUACUGGAAACGGUAGCUAAUACCGCAUACUAUCGGAUGAACCCAGAUGGGAUUAGCUAGUAGGUGGGGUAACGGCUCACCUAGGCGACGAUCUCUAGCUGGUCUGAGAGGAUGAUCAGCCACACUGGAACUGAGACACGGUCCAGACUCCUACGGGAGGCAGCAGUGGGGAAUAUUGCACAAUGGGCGAAAGCCUGAUGCAGCCAUGCCGCGUGUAUGAAGAAGGCCUUAGGGUUGUAAAGUACUUUCAGCGGGGAGGCGUUACCCGCAGAAGAAGCACCGGCUAACUCCGUGCCAGCAGCCGCGGUAAUAC